UACGGGGGGGGCAAGCGUUGUUCGGAAUUACUGGGCGUAAAGAGCGUGUAGGCGGCCAGAUAGGUCCGUUGUGAAAACUGGAGUCUUAACCUCCAGCGGUCGAUGGAAACCAUUUGGCUAGAGUCCGGAAGAGGAGAGUGGAAUUCCUGGUGUAGCGGUGAAAUGCGUAGAUAUCUGGAGGAACACCGGUGGCGAAGGCGGCAUCCUGGACCAACACUGACGCUGAGUGAGCGAAAGCCAGGGGAGCAAACGGG
rnacentral:rRNA from 1 species